GCCCAGAUGGCUCAGUCAGUAGAGCAUCAGACUUUUAAUCUGAAGGUCCAAGGUUCAAGUCCCUGUUUGAGCC
rfam:TPA: Bos taurus chromosome 22, whole genome shotgun sequence.